rnacentral:rRNA from 1 species
UACAGAGGGUGCGAGCGUUAAUCGGAAUUACUGGGCGUAAAGCGCGCGUAGGCGGCUUUUCAAGUCGAUUGUGAAAUCCCCGGGCUUAACCUGGGAACUGCAGUCGAGACUGUCUAGCUAGAGUAUGGGAGAGGGAAGUGGAAUUUCAGGUGUAGCGGUGAAAUGCGUAGAUAUCUGGAGGAACACCGGUGGCGAAGGCGGCAUCCUGGACCGAGAUUGACGCUGAGGCGCGAAAGCCAGGGGAGCGAACGGG